UUACUGUGAUGAGAUUCCACUGUAUGGUCGGUGUUUCUGAAACACAUGAUUUUUUUUUUUGGAAUUUCUGAUUCU
ensembl:snoRNA SNORD18 Small nucleolar RNA SNORD18